GACGAACGCUGGCGGCGUGCUUAACACAUGCAAGUCGAACGGAAAGGCCCUGCUUUUGUGGGGUGCUCGAGUGGCGAACGGGUGAGUAACACGUGAGUAACCUGCCCUUGACUUUGGGAUAACUUCAGGAAACUGGGGCUAAUACCGGAUAGGAGCUCCUGCUGCAUGGUGGGGGUUGGAAAGUUUCGGCGGUUGGGGAUGGACUCGCGGCUUAUCAGCUUGUUGGUGGGGUAGUGGCUUACCAAGGCUUUGACGGGUAGCCGGCCUGAGAGGGUGACCGGCCACAUUGGGACUGAGAUACGGCCCAGACUCCUACGGGAGGCGGCAGUGGGGAAUAUUGCACAAUGGGCGGAAGCCUGAUGCAGCAACGCCGCGUGCGGGAUGACGGCCUUCGGGUUGUAAACCGCUUUCGCCUGUGACGAAGCGUGAGUGACGGUAAUGGGUAAAGAAGCAACGGCUAACUACGUG
rnacentral:rRNA from 1 species